ensembl:lncRNA
GGGCCCGUGAGCCAUGGCCACUGAGCCUGCGCGUCCGGAGCCUGUGCUCCGCAAUGGGAGAGGCCACAACAGUGAGAGGCCCGCGUAUCGCAAAAAAAAUAUAAAGGGACAGUGCAAUUUGUAGUGGUAAUCACAGUGAAUACUGUAUUCAGUCUUUGUAGACUUGGGCAAGCACAGAGCCACGAUAGUUAUGCUCACUUGAGCACUUUGAGAUGGAUUUUAAGUGAGAUGAUUUCUUAUUUGAAACUCAGAAAAGAAAAAAAAAGCUGAGAGAGUUUCAGCUUUGCUUACAGAAAAGGAAAGAUCUUGGGCCCUACAGCUUGGUGGUGGUUAACCUGUGCCUAUAAGAUUUAGUCUUAGUAUAACCACUCAAGAUUCUUUUUACAGAUAGAACAGGGUUUUGAUGCUGAAAAGGCUUUUAGCAACCUUUAGGAUUAGUCUUAGAGGAAGAAACAGGCCCAGGCAGAGUCAACGCCUUGUGUAAUGUCACAAUUAAGUUCAUAUGUCUUUUAAUGUUUAAUGUAUAUAAACCAGUUUCUUUAUACACAUUUGAGAAAGCAGUAGUCUCACUGGUUAAAUGAUUAGUUAACUGACCUAGGAACAGUUGUUGGCUUUUUAAGUUAUUAGGCAUUUACAGUUACUAUUGCCUGUAACCAAAGGUAGUUAUUAUAUAAGUGUGUUUUUGAAACCAUGAGGCAAUGAGAAAGAAUUUAAAAACCAACUUUCUAGCUAUAAUUAAAAAUCGAGAGCAUUUUUUAAACCAGUAAUUAAUUCAGAGGUAGCUCAAAUUGAGGGCAAGAAUUAAGGAUAUUUAAAAUACUGUAUGUAGGGACUUCCCUGGCAGUCCAGUGGUUAGGACUCCACGCUUCCACUGCAGGGGACAUGGGUUUGAUCCCUGGUCGGGGAACUAAGAUCCCGCAAGCAGUGCAGCGCGGCCAAAAAAAAACCCCCCAAAAACCAAAAAUAAAAUACUAUAUGUAUAGCUACCUUUUUGAAGAUCAUACUUCCAUAAUACCUAUGGUUUUAAUAGCUCUUUCUAGUUUACUACGUGUGUUCCCAUAUAUUCUCUUUUGUGUCCCACAGGGAAAGUAAUGAUAGUCUAGGAAACUAAUGGGGAAACUCUGAGGCUCAGAUAUGGGGAUCAAAUCCAGUUUUCCUUUUCUAUGUGGUGCUGUACAUCUCCAGCAGAUUUCCCUCAGAGCCCCACGAAAACAAAGCAUUCUUUUGACCUCACAUACUUCCGUAGGCUGUAAGUAAUAGAUUAGAACUUUCAGACACGUUAAUGGCAAACAUAGCAACAGGCAACAACCAAAAUCAAAUGUUCCUUCACGUUUGACAUUUGCAGUGGCUGUGUGGGCAAAGAUGUAUUGGCCUAUUGUCUUGAGCCGAUGCAAUGUUCCAGUAAUGUCAGAGGGUCAGCACCAUUCCUGGUUCUGGCAUUUGAGGGCUUGGGAGACAUCUAGGUUUAGAAUAAGCCGAAAAAAAACCCUCACAAGAUGGGGGAUAUAUUGGUUUGCAGUGGCCUAAGCAUGACAGUUAAGUCUGAAGAAGCGUGAAGGAUCACAUCUGUUCUCUAAGCCAGAGAGGCCUGCCUACAAAUGUAACAUUUUAGGGAUCUGGACCAUUGCAGGUCGGGCUAGACCUCCAGAGUCAGCCUAAGCUAGUGGUAGCAGGAUAGGUCAUUGUGGCUGCAUGACCUCCAAAGCAGGUGGGGCAAAACUUCAUGAUGCAGGGAUCUGAGAGGCAGACUUUCCAGAGGCUGGCCACUGCUGCUUACACAGUAACAAUUCUGUCUUUGCAAGAGGAGAGGUUAUCCCAUAGACUUAUGGAUGGAAAGCCAAUUGAAGGCUUUGAUCCUUUAGUAGCCUACUCUGAUAUUUAUCUUUUGCCCUGGACCCAGGAUCCAAUCCAUGCACUGUAUGAUACUGUAGCUCUAAAUUCAGUGCUUUCUUCAAAAUGCAUUCUAUUUAUAUUUGAUUGCUACUGGGAGUGACGUAUUUUUAUGCUUUAUACUAUAUUACUUUUUUCUCCUACCAAUUAAGUUCUUAUGUUUUGUUGAAAAAUAUAAGUUUAAUGAAAACAUCCUAUAAAGAAUACUCUUUUUUUUUUUUCGGUACGUGGGCCUCUCAUUGUUGUGGCCUCUCCCGUUGCGGAGCACAGGCUCCGGACGCGCAGGCUCAGCGACCAUGGCUCACGGGCCCAGCCGCUCCGCGGCACAUGGGAUCUUCCCAGACUGGGGCACGAACCCGUGUCCCCUGCAUCGGCAGGCGGACUCUCAACCACUGUGCCACCAGGGGAGCCCUAUUUUUUUUUUUUAAUUCUGAGAAUUACCUACAAUGAUGUAGUGAAGUGAGAGGCAUGCCUGGAAUCAGGAGAGCCCACUCAACCUAAAUUUAUCUGUGUGACCUCAAGCAAGUCAUUUAAACUCUCUGUACCUCUGUUUCCUUAUUUGUAAAAAGAGGUUUGAUCUCUCCAUUUACUUCCAGUUCUAAUUCUGUGAUUCUGACCCGCAGGACUCGAGCAUUAGCCUGUUGCUAGACAUACGCUGUCCGGUAUGAUAGCCACUGGCCACAUGUGGCUACUGAGUACUUGAAACAUGGCUAAUACAUAUUGAGAUGUGCUAUGAAUGUAAAGUGCAUACCAGAUUUCAAAGGCUUAGUAUGAAAAAAGGGAAUAUAAAAUAUCACAUUAACAGUUUUAUAUUGAUUACAGUUCAAAUAUUUUGGAUAUACCAAAUUAAACAUUAAAGUUAAUUUUAUUUUCUUACCGUCCUAAUGUGGCUACUAGAAGGUUUUAAAUUACACAUGUGGCACACAUUAUAUUUCCAUUCUAUGGCCCUGCUCUAGAACAUUUUAUUAAGUGGAUGUUAUUUAAGCAGACCAAAGGUUAUAAGUAUGAUAUUUACCUCUAAAUGCUAUGGUUUAAAGGACAUCUAUUGAUCCUCGGUUCAGUGCAAAUAACUGUGAACCUCUAUCGAUGUAUCAAAUUUAAAACUUUUUUGAAAUGAGUAAACUUGAAAAUGUUAGACAUUUUAUUAGCCUGAAAUCAAACAAAACUUGAGGUAUAUGUUGACACCCUAUGGUAGUCACUAAAUUUGGAAAUCCAUUGAUAAGCACAAAGACAAACAAGAAGAUACAGAAUAGACUUUUGGUAAAUAAAUGGAAUUAAAGGAAACUAAUUACAGUGUCAUAAUGGGAAAAGGCUAUAUUCAUUGGUCAUCAUAAUCUUUGACAAAUCUCCAUAGAGUCUAGGACACAGGUAUAUAAGAUAGCAACUCUCUAGGUAUCAGACCAUGUUUAGUGGGUCCCGUUUCAGAUCCUGCUGUAAAGAGGAAUCCACCACUCAGGUAGGUCAUUGUUGGGCUCUGGAAUUAGAGAUUCAGAUUUGCCAAGCAUAGUAUUGUGGGCACAGCAUCCCUGACGUCUACAAUGAUCAGAAGCCAUAAAGAAAACCUGCUGCAUGGCCACUAGGUGUCACUUUCCCAUUCCUGUAGGGCUUUGUUUUCAUUAGAUUAAUUUUUCCAAGUUCCAUGGGGCCUAGGACAGGCAUUUAUGACUUCUAUGUCUAGAAUAAGUCUGCCCCUGUUUUAUAAGAAAUGUUUUUCAAGAGACGUCUGGGAAGAUCCCUUCCACAUAAAAUAAGAAUUUUGGUUUAGAGACCUCUCCAGAUGUGGCUCCAGUAAAAGCUGACUUUAGAAGGAAAACCCAUCCAACCUAGAAUAUGCUUUCUGAGCUCAUUUGGGAGUGUUGAGUGUGUGUGUCACUGCUCUUAGUGUUGAGUUUAGGUUUGUCUUUUAUACAAUUUUUAAGCUCUUUUCCAUUUCACUUGCUCUUGUCUGUAUGUUGGUAUUUUUUAAAUUUUGUGGUAAAUAAUGAAGAGUGAAAUUAAACUAUAUUUUAU